rnacentral:rRNA from 1 species
GAAAGGUAGUAAGGGCACACGGGGAAUGCCUUGGCGCUGGUAGCCGAGGAAGGACGCAGCAAGCUGCGAGAAGCCGCGGGGAGGAGCAAGCAUCCGUUGAUCCGCGGAUAUCCGAAUGGGGGAACCUGCCCGGAGAAAUCCGGGAAUCGCCGUAAGGGCGAAGGAACCCGGCGAAGUGAAACAUCUCAGUAGCCGGAGGAAGAGAAAUCGAAGAGAUUCCCUGAGUAGUGGUGAGCGAAAGGGGAAGAGCCUAAACUCACGCAAUGCCAAGACUGCGGUCGUUGUUGCGUGGGGGUUGUGGGUCUAUGCCGGAGGAGUCCGCAGACUUCUCGGGGAGUUAUAAAGGGCGCAUCUAACCGAACCGUGUUGGGAAAGCGGACCGAAGAGGGUGAAAGUCCCGUAGGUGAAAGGCGCGUCUCUCUCUGGGCAUAGAACCCGAGUAGGCCGGAGCACGUGGAAUUCCGGUUGAAUCAGGGCCGACCAUGGUCCAAGGCUAAAUACUACCAGCGACCGAUAGUGAAGCAGUACCGAGAGGGAAAGGUGAAAAGCACCCCUGGCGGGGAGUGAAAGAGACCUGAAACCGUGUGCCUACAAGCAAUCGGAGCCUGAGCCGUCGCGAGACGGUGAGGGUGACGGUAUGCCUUUUGUAAAAUGAGCCGGCGAGUUAUCGUAUGUAGCGAGGUUAAGGUGCGAGAGAGCACUGGAGCCGAAGGGAAACCGAGUCUGAAAAGGGCGGAAGUUUCAUGCGAUAAACCCGAAGCCGUACGAUCUAGCCAUGGGCAGGUUGAAGCCCCGGUGAAACGGGGUGGAGGACCGAACCGGUGCCUGUUGAAAAAGUCUCGGAUGACCUGUGGUUAGGAGUGAAAAGCUAAUCGAGUACGGUAAUAGCUGGUUCUCCCCGAUAUGCAUUGAGGUGCAGCCUCAUGCGAUGAGUCAUGGGGGUAGAGCGCUGGAUGGACGAUGGGGACAGGAGUCCUGCUGACUUCAACCAAACUGCGAAUACCAUGACUUUAGCAUGGGAGUGAGACUACGGGUGAGAAGGUUCGUGGUCGUGAGGGAAACAGCCCAGACCGCCAGCUAAGGUCCCAAAGCAAUGCUGAGUGUGGCAAGGAUGUGGAGAUGCCUGGACAGCCAGGAGGUUGGCUUAGAAGCAGCCAUCCUUUAAAGAGUGCGUAACAGCUCACUGGUCGAGGAUCUCUGCGCCGACAAUGUAGGGGGCUAAGCAUUGCACCGAAGCUGCGGGAUUUGCACGUAAGUGGAAAUCGGUAGGGGAGCGUUCCAUGCGGGGAGAAGUCGAACCGGAAGGUUUGGUGGACUGCAUGGAAGUGAGAAUGCCGGCAUAAGUAGCGCAAAGUAUGUGAGAAACAUACUCACCGGAAGCCCAAGGGUUCCUGGGGAAGGCUCAUCCACCCAGGGUUAGGCGGGACCUAAGGCGAGGCUGAAAGGCGUAGCUGAUGGACAACAGGUAGACAUUCCUGUCCCGACACUGUGACGCAUGGACCGAAGGGGUGACGCAGAAAGCUAGGCGGAGCCGGGGGAUGGAAGACCCGGUUCAAGGGGGUAGGCAGGGUUCGCAGGAAAAGCCGUGAGCCCAAAUGCUGAGACCUGAUGGGGAGCUCCGUAAGGGGCGAAGCCGCUGACGCUCUGCUGCCGAGAAAAGCCUCUAGGGAGGAACAGUGUUGCCCGUACCCGAGACCGACGCAGGUGGGCUGGCUGAGAAGGCUAAGGUGAGCGGGAUAACUCUCGUUAAGGAACUCUGCAAGUUGACCCCGUAACUUAGGGAGAAGGGGUGCCACUGCGGUGAAGUCAAUGCUGGCGGAGCCGCGAGUGGUCGCAGAAACCAGGCUCAGGCGACUGUUUACUAAAAACACAGGACUCUGCAUAAGGCGCAAGCCGAAGUAUAGGGUCUGACACCUGCCCGGUGCUGGAAGGUUAAAUGGAGGGGUUAGCCGCGACCGCAAGGGAGAGGCGAAGCUCUGAAAUGAAGCCCCAGUAAACGGCGGCCGUAACUAUAAGUUCCGACCUGCACGAAUGGUGUAACGAUCUGAGCGCUGUCUCGACGGGAGACCCGGUGAAAUUGUGGUCCUGGUAAAGACACCAGGUACCUGUGGUGGGACGGAAAGACCCCAUGGAGCUUUACUGUAGCCUGGUACUGGAUUUUGUCAUGUCAUGCACAGGAUAGGUGGGAGACAUUGAAGCCAUGACUUUGGUUGUGGUGGAGUCGACGUUGGGAUACCACCCUUGAGAUGCCGGAAUUCUAACCGCAGCGUCUGAAUCGACGAGCGGGACACUGUCAGGCGGGCAGUUUGACUGGGGCGGUCGCCUCCUAAAGAGUAACGGAGGCGCGCAAAGGUCACCUCUGGGCGGAUGGAAAUCGCCCGUGCGAGCGCAAGUGUAUAAGGUGGCCUGACUGUGAGACUGACAAGUCGAGCAGGGACGAAAGUCGGUACUAGUGAUCCGGCGGUUCCGAAUGGAAGGGCCGUCGCUCAACGGAUAAAAGCUACCCUGGGGAUAACAGGCUGAUCUUGCCCGAGAGUUCCUAUCGACGGCAAGGUUUGGCACCUCGAUGUCGGCUCGUCGCAUCCUGGGGCUGAAGCAGGUCCCAAGGGUUGGUCUGUUCGCCCAUUAAAGCGGUACGUGAGCUGGGUUUAGAACGUCGUGAGACAGUUCGGUCCCUAUCCACCACGGGCGUAGGGUAUUUGAGGAGAUCUGCUUCUAGUACGAGAGGACCGAAGUGGACGAACCGCUGGUGUAUCGGUUGUGCUGCCAAGUGCAUACGCCGAGUAGCUAUGUUCGGAACGGAUAACCGCUGAAGGCAUCUAAGCGGGAAGCCGCCUUCAAGAUGAGAUACCCCAUUCCCGAGAGGGAAGUAAGGCGUCCCGGAGAACACGGGGGAGAUAGGCCGGAGGUGGAAGCGCUGAGAGGCGUGGAGCUGACCGGUACUAAUACGCCGAGGCCUUGCCCUC